UUCGUAAAUGACUCGAGUCAACUCAGCUACAACUUGUACAGAAUAAAUUCAUCAGAAUUAUUGUGAUUGUAUUGCUUGGGAAGAAAAAUGAGCCCUGUGAACAAUGAGAACUUCGAAACUUCAUCAGAAAAUAUAUGGGAUUUGCAUAGAAUAUAUUCCCGACGAGCAUGCUUCUAUUACAUUUCUGUUUUUAGAAACAACGCUAGUGCGAACAGUUUUUAAAAUGGAGUUUCAAAAUAUUUUGUACUUAUACUAAUUUAUAUGCAUCAAGGGCUAUAUAAUUUCAAAUUUACUUACAAAGGCAAAGCGUGAUUAACUAAAAGCCCCAUUUACACUACGCUCAAUUUU